rnacentral:rRNA from 1 species
UACGAAGGGUGCUAGCGUUGCUCGGAAUUACUGGGCGUAAAGCGCACGUAGGCGGCUUCUUAAGUCGGUGGUGAAAUCCUGGAGCUCAACUCCAGAACUGCCUUCGAUACUGGGAAGCUCGAGUCCGGGAGAGGUGAGUGGAACUGCGAGUGUAGAGGUGAAAUUCGUAGAUAUUCGCAAGAACACCAGUGGCGAAGGCGGCUCACUGGCCCGGUACUGACGCUGAGGUGCGAAAGCGUGGGGAGCAAACAGG